UGGGGAAUCUUGCACAAUGGAGGAAACUCUGAUGCAGCGACGCCGCGUGAGCGAUGAAGCCCUUCGGGGUGUAAAGCUCUUUCGACAGGAACGAUAAUGACGGUACCUGGAGAAGAAGCUGCGGCUAACUACGUGCCAGCAGCCGCGGUAAUACGUAGGCAGCAAGCGUUGUUCGGAAUUACUGGGCGUAAAGAGUGUGUAGGCGGUGCUCUAAGUUCGGUGUGAAAUCUCCCGGCUUAACUGGGAGGGUGCGCCGGAAACUGGAGUGCUUGAGCGCGGGAGAGGAAAGCGGAAUUCCUGGUGUAGCGGUGAAAUGCGUAGAUAUCAGGAGGAACACCUGUGGUGUAGACGGCUUUCUGGACCGUAGCUGACGCUGAGACACGAAAGCGUGGGUAGCAAACAGGAUUAGAUACCC
rnacentral:rRNA from 1 species